AGGAGGAAGGGAAGAAGUGUACACAGACAUGCAUGCGUAUACAUACAUAAAAAUGUAUGCAUGUCUCCAUCGGCACAUACACACCGGCAUACACGCACAACUAACCGCCUCCCCCUCCUCUGCUGUUGCUCUUCUUUGUUGAACGCACGCACAGCCGAACGUAAGCAGAAGCAAACAGCGCGGCCAGAGAGAUGUUGACGUCUCUCGACGGCAUCUGCCGCUGAUUGCAGGAGGAGGAAGAGUUGCGAGGAGAGGGAACGGAAGGGAGGGCGACAAAACACAGCGAAAACAGACGAAGGAACAUACAGCGGCAGCAGCGGAGUUCGUGUCCCUCGUGUAGAGCCUCUUAGUCUUCUUUGCUUGUUCGCGGUUGUUUUUUCUCUCUUUCCCCUCUCCCCUCUGUGAUUCUUCCUCCUCUGUAUUCAUUUAUCAUUGGUUGACCUUUAAUCUGUGUCUCUGCCCUCAUUCCACUGCCUUUUCGGAAUGCGAGCCUCGCGAAAGGAGGGUUCUCGAUUCGUUUCGGCUGUGAGUCAUCUUUCUCCCCCCUCCCCGCGCCCUCCGCGUCCUUCUUGCAGAUGCGCCGCUAUCGCAAGGGUCACAAUGAGGGGUGAAGUAAUGUGAGAGUAGACGUGCCUGGCUUGUGUUUCCUUUUUUCUUUUCCUAUUCCUUUACUCAUUAGGGCGCUGCAACACAUCGCCCCCCCCCCCCGGGGGGGUAGCUGGGCAGACGCCGCUUGUGAAAGCGAGGCCGGCAACGGCCACCAUAUGCACACCGUAUAUACGGCUGCACAGUGGCCGUCGGCCAGCCACGGUACGCGCAU
rnacentral:misc_RNA from 1 species